CCGGCGACCGGCGGCACGGGUGAGUAACACGUAUGCAACCUGGCCGUGACAGAUGGAUAACCGGGAGAAAUCCCGCCUAAUACCGCGUAACGCCGCGGACCUGCAUGGGUCUGCGGCCAAAGGAAGCGAUUCCGGCGGGGGAUGGGCAUGCGGCGCAUUAGCUAGUCGGCGGGGUAACGGCCCACCGAGGCGACGAUGCGUAGGGGUUCUGAGAGGAAGGUCCCCCACAUUGGAACUGAGACACGGUCCAAACUCCUACGGAAGGCAGCAG
rnacentral:rRNA from 1 species